GAGGGAAAGUUGCAAAGCACUUUGAAGAGAGAGUUAAAGAGGACGUGAAACCGAUAAGGUGGAAACGGAUAGAGCCGACGUAUCUGGCCUGUAUUCAGCUGUCGGUCAGUGUCGAUUGCUUUAGCCGGUCCUGCUUUUGGCUGGCUGAAGUAUAACGCUGGCGUUGAUUGGCGGUGCAUUUGCAGGUGGAGUGCGCUGAGGAGUACACUUGAGCGGUUGGACGCCUGUCUUGAGGUCUCGCUUUCGGGUGAGGUGCCCGGACAGGACGAAGACUGUUUGUCGUGUAUUUUGUUGCAAUGAGUAUGGCGUACGAGCCGGCUGGUAGUUUGCUCGGUGAUAGUGGGCAGUCGCGUGCGAAUGCUCCUAUUUGCUUGGUAGGCUACUGGUGCGGGCUCACUUACUCGUCUUCGGUGUAAGAGUUGGUCAUCUAUCCGACCCGUCUUGAAACACGGACCAAGGAGUUUAGCGUGUACGCGAGUCAUUGGGUGUUGAAAACUCAAAGGCGUAAUGAAAGUAAAGGCUACCUUUGUGGGGCCGAUAUGCGAUCCUGAGUGCUUUGGUGCUUAGGAGCAGCAUAGCCCCAUCCGGAUUGCUUGCAAUGGGGUGGAGGUAGAGCGUAUUCGCUGAGACCCGAAAGAUGGUGAACUAUGCCUGAGCAGGAUGAAGCCAGAGGAAACUCUGGUGGAAGUCGAAGCGGUUCUGAC
rnacentral:rRNA from 1 species